UUGCCUGCCCCUAACAUGAGGUAAGGCACAUUUUAGUAGCUGAAGUGAAAUACAAUUAUAACUCCCACCUCCUGCAUUUAUAAAAAUGUAACUGGAUGCUGGGAAGUUAAUCCCAGGGCAUUGUACCCCUAGAAGCCUCCCCCCUCCCAAAAAGGGAGCAUCUCUCAUUUAUAACCCUUCAGCUCAAUACUUUAUUUCCACCAGAAUGAUAUCUAGAUUUCUUGAUGAUGUUCUAGACCCAAAAUAAGUUUUACUUUGUUUAAAAAUAUGUUUACCAAGGUUGAAAGAUUUGCUACGUUUAUAAAAAUUGUGACAAAUAUACAUCAGUUCAUAGGCUUUUAAAAAUGCCAUAUAGCAACUUAUGUGAAAUAUGAUAGUGGGUUUGUUGGUUAUUGUAAUUAACUGGGCUAUUGAGAAUUUUGGGGAUAUUGAUACCUACAUAUUUGUACUACUGUUCUUUAUUUUUUAAAAACUGUUACCUUGUGAAGUUCAUUUGCUUGUACUCACAGUGGAUCAUGACCAGUUAUGAAGAGGAAAUAGAUUUCAUUUUUGGUGAGAAAGCCUUGUAUUCUAUGUUUUCUUAGCUGAUACAGUGUGUCAAUGAUUAUAAGCUACAUUUUUGAAUUUUUAAAACUCUUUUAGUAUAUUUUUCUUGCAUGUGCAAUAUACUAUUUCAGUAUUUUUUCUCUCCUUUUUAUAUUUCGAGCACAUGUCACCAGCAUUAAGAUUUUCUUUAACAUUUUGAUUUUGCAGUAAUAUAAGUUUAAAAUACAUUUGCUAUAAUGUCAAUGCAUGCCCCAAACCUUGAGACCGUAAAAAUGAUGCCAUUAAUUGUUUUUAAAAAAUUAUGGGACUUUUCUUAAUGAGUCCAUCUGAUUCCAGGACAAGAUAUACAAAAGAGCCAUUGCACAGGACCAAAUAAAACAAUCCAGGAAGGAUUGAUACACUUCUAAGCCAAUACAAAGGACUUGAACCUAGUGUGAAGACUCAAGGUUGUAACACUUAACAUAUGUUAAGAUGUAGGCCUUCCUUGUAUCCACACUCUUUGUGAAAAUACUUACAGAUGAGUAUACCAAACUUGGCUCCUUAGCUGGCUCCUAUAAUCUGGUCCCUUUUCUGUCUUUCUUAGAGUGGAAACUUUCUGUAGUCCUGGCUACUGACUGGGUAAAUGCAUCAUUGCUUAGAUUAUUUUAAUUGGGCUCUGAUUUAGGGACCUGUUAUACAUUUGUUUUUACUUUACUUAGAAUUUUUACAUAUAAGACUUUCAUAAUCUAUAUUUUCAUCCAGAAAUUUUUCUUUUUUAUUUGUAUUUUUCUGAUGUUUUUUAACAUCUCUUGCCAAUUGAUUCAUAUACCUCAUAACUCAGCCAUGCAUCCUAAGUAAUCCUGUGUUUUUCAGUGACCCUCAAUAUGGGGAAAUGUAAAAAAUAUUAUUAUUUAAAUUGCAAAGUUUAAAUUCCUUUUAAGAAAAAUUUUAGGUAAAGAAAGAUGCAACCUCUCUGAAUCCAGAAACUGAACUAUUUGGAGAAGACACCAUGAAGAUGCCUCCAGACCACAACCUGCAGGAAAAGAUCAAGAAUGAACUUUCAGUGUGGUUGAUUGAACAUUUAUUUGUAUUUAUACUUUCAUGCCAAAGGGGACUGCCCCUUAACUGGCUUUUUGUCAAUGCGUCCAGUGAUUAUUGGUUUUGUUCUUUUUUAUCCUCUUAUCAUCAAAUUAUUGUAAUCUUUAAAUUGAUUAUGUUUUCAUGAUCCUUUGGGGGAAAAUUUUUUUUUCUCAACCAGUAUCAUAUGGUGAAAUGUAAAAAUGGAGAUUUGAACCCCAGACUUCAAUCCCCAGAAGUCCUUGCUAGCUCCCAGAAUUCUCUCUAAUCUCCCUGAGGACGAGAUCACAAAUUAUUAUUUAAAGGAGCUCUCCACCUACUGAGCUCUCUUCCUACUUCCACUUUGGAGCACACACGGCUCUCCACCUAGCAGGCAAGAUGUGAGUGGUUGUAAAUGGGCUCUCUGGGCCUAGACAAGUGCUUUCUUAUUCUAUAUUUUCUUUAAUUCUUAACCUUUAAUAAACCUCAUAAAGUAUAAUACUUCUAGAGAGAAACUAAAUUUUUACCUGCCACAGUAUGGCAAUUUUAAUCUUAACAUAUAAAAUCCAUAGCAGUGAAGCAGAAAGGUUAAUAGAUUUUAUGUCAGAGGGCAUGAGUUCAAAUCCCAGAUUUACCAUUUAACUACCAGUGUAUAAAGUGUGACAAGACAGGAAAGAUAUAUUGGUGAGGAAAGCACUUUGAAUAUCAGAGAAUUUGAUAUUUUAUCCUGGAGGUGAUAGGAAAUCCCUGGAGUUUGAGUGGUCAUGGAAGUCCAUUGGCAAGACAAAAGUCAAGAUAACUAAUGAUAGCUCAGGAUGUACUGGAUGACCUUGUAGUCUUUCCUGUCUGACCAAGCUCUAAGUGCUCCACAGAGACUGCUUCAGUUGCCUCUAUGGACCUUGGAACAAACUGUUCUAUUCUACCCAUUCCACUGGAGGAAAUCUUCACGUGCUUGAAGCAGACAUUUCUGUUUCACUAAUGUGUUUAAGACCUAUAGGUUACCUUCAACUUGAUUUAGCAUGUCUGCCAAGAUAGCUUUACCAGGAUAUGGUUGCUAUGCAUGCUACAGCUUCUUGGAAACACAGGUGAGAGUUGGAUAAGAGGUGGACAUCAAAAGCCAAUGAACAGCAUGAAAAGGGAUCAGCAAGCCCUCAUACCAGAGGUGAUUGUUCUCCCUGAACAUAUUGCAUUCCAGAAUCUUUGUCUCUUAGAAACCUUGCAAAUAUCAGCUCAAGCAACAUCUCCUGACUUUUUAUGAUUCCUCUAAAAGUUAGUGUAUUACCUGACAACAAAUAAACUUCUGCUUAAUAUGGGU